rnacentral:rRNA from 1 species
AUGAUGAUUGGCGAUGGACGAAAGCAGCAUACUGGAUCCGAUGGCCUCGUCUUACCACGACUGGCAUCGGAGAAUGUAGUUGUUGCCUCCACUUCGCCCUCCGCUGUCAACACCGAAGAAGAAUUUGGAGCUGAUAUCAUGCAAAACAUCAACCAGAGCUCCAACACCCCAUCUCCGUGCACCGUGUCAUGUUUGGACCCGAAGGCUGGGCGGACCUACCACAUGGAUUAUUGCACUCCAUCAUUGUCCUGUUGGGUUCAACUCGUGACCUUCUUGCAUUCAUCGCCACCUGCCCUAGCUGGUAUGCCGCAUUUAUGUCAAUCAGAUCUACCUUAG